UAGCUCAAUUGGUAGAGCAUGGCACUUGCAUUGCCAGGAUUUUGGGUUCGAUUCCCAG
rnacentral:tRNA from 1 species